rnacentral:rRNA from 1 species
GGGUGAGUAACACGUGGGUAACCUGCCCAUAAGACUGGGAUAACUCCGGGAAACCGGGGCUAAUACCGGAUAAUAUUUUGAACUGCAUGGUUCGAAAUUGAAAGGCGGCUUCGGCUGUCACUUAUGGAUGGACCCGCGUCGCAUUAGCUAGUUGGUGAGGUAACGGCUUACCAAGGCAACGAUGCAUAGCCGACCUGAGAGGGUGAUCGGCCACACUGGACUGAGACACGGCCCAG